UUUCCUUCCUCACGCGGUUCUGCCGGUCGCUCAAUCUUCUCCCAUCGUUGGCCUCCUUCUUCGCAGCCGCACGAAGAAACCAAGGAAGAGACGCCGCCUCUCAUCUCCGGCUAGCAGGCAACUCGCCUCCCUGCUCGCCCACUCCUUCAUCGGGAUCUGCGUCCGCCACCAUUGGGACUUCACCGUGGUGGCCGUCGCCUCCACGCAGAGUGCGGCCGGUGGCUGCCGCCUGGUCAUCACCGCGGCCGCCGCGGCGCCGCGGCAUCGCAUCCUCGCAGAGUACCAUUGGUGCAGAUAUCCAUGCUCCAUCGAUUUGUGCUGCUGGUGUCGUAGACUAUCUAGGUAAGGACGGCAGCCCCUGCCAAGGCCUUAGGCAGGCCGGAACCGCAACCGGUACAACAAUACGCGCAUGCGCCCCUCCGCGCGAGCCGGUGUGCCCCGUUCCUGAGCUGAUAUGGAGUUGUCGUUGCCAUCCCUCUGUGCGCCCCCGAGACCUGCACUGCAAUUUCCUCCUUUCCCAUUUGAUUUGAUUUGAUUUCGCAGCCAGACGUGGAUCCACCAGCCUGCUUGUGGGGGAGAUGUACUCCAAUUAUAGUUCCUCCUUUCUCAUUUGAUUUGAUUAAUUAUUUAUAGUUGUUCACUGAUUUGUGAAUUCUGAUUGCGUGCAGCAGCCAAUUACACAGGAGUGAGGACAUAUAGAAAUAUAUGGGUUAUUCGACGAUGUCGUUGAUGCUACUCGGAUGUGGACGUCACCAGGUACAAGGUGCGGUGGGUUUCUCUGCAGAUGGAGACGGCCUUCCACCACAGCGCACGCGACCUACCGACAUCCUCGCAGGAAGCCUGCCUGCACUCUCAGACUGUAUGAGCAUGGCUACACUGCACCUCCAAGACCCCAUCCUGAUGAAACUACCAUUGAAUUUGUUUCAUUCCAGACAUGGAACUCGACUCUACUUCAUAAGUUCUUUGCUCUGUAUUUCUGAUGUCAUGCUUAUAGUAUCCAUUGUUGUUUACCUCCUUUUAUUGGGAUUUGCAGUGGUGGCUGGACCAUUACUGGUACAACAUUUGACUUGCGUGAUCCUAGGAUCCUUGUAGUAGCACAAAACCACAUUAUGGAAGCUGAGUAUGAUGAUUAUUCAGCUACCAACGCCAGCACUGCUGCCUUUUGCCGUUCUGCUGCUCUUCUGUUAAUGGCUCUCCUAUUAUUGAGGCAUGCAUUGACUCUAACUGAUGAAGAUGAUGAUGAUACUUCAGCAAUGUUUUCACUUUUCUUACUGCUUCUGACUUCUUAGGCUCGGUUCCCCAAAUGGUGAAAGGCAGAAAAUACCUUGAACUUAUCCUCAUUGCACGAACAAUUAUGUUCUUCUUCCUUUUUUAUAUGUUCACCUGGCUUGGAGAAGAGAAUCCUUUAAAGGGAAUGGAGGUCCAGGCCAGAUUUAGCCUUCUAGAAGCACCUAUGGUUAUGACUAGGAGAGCACAGAUGCGACCGAAGCUGCACCUUGUUCCGCUGCCGCCAACAGCUACCAAGUGUCCCGCCCGCUGGAUCUGCACUGCAGAAACCGGGGUCGAUUGUUGAACUCCAUAUCAUGUUUCGUCAGCUUCAAACCUUAUAAGUUGGUUCACUACAUUAAGAACCUGCAUGUGGUCAAAGUACAAGCUGCGGAUCUGAAACAUUUGCAAGAAUUAACUUCCAUGAAGAUCGAACUCCCACUGCCACAAGUAUGAGGUAUUUUACCUGUACCAGGUUAAUAGUAAUGCUACUGCCACGAGUCCGCGAGCUUUGCUAUAAAAUUGUUAUGGAUUAGCUGGUUACUGAAGACCAGAUGUGGUGCGAGCACUAGAACUCAACCGGGAGAGACAUGUGAGGAUGAGCAUUCAAAAAUUAGAUAGCCGACAUGAGGUUAUUUUGCAACAAAUAGAAGCUUUCAAGGGGCUAAACGCACAAUAUAUAGGAGUUCUCCUGUCCUUGCCUUUAAAUCCUGUGAAGAUCGAACGGCCUAGGUUUAACGUGUACAUUUUAUCAGCUAGAAGCCGGUAUCAGUAGAUAUGUUCUCGAAACUGCCUACAUAUUUAUCUCCAAGGCAUAGCAAUCUAAUUAAUAGUGUAAUUUGUUGCCAAGUGCAGGCAGAGGUGCAGAGUGUUUAUAUGCACAUAGGUUCUCUCCUGUAAUUUAAACAGCCAACGGAAAUCUUUUCUCCAUAUAGGAUAUGGAUGACAUCACAUUCCUGUUUCUCGGUAAUUUUGCAUUUGAUUUUCACUCACCAUGUGCGCAGCCAGGCCUGUUAUGAUCAGUUCUUUUAUCUCACAUUUCUUUUGUUGAUAAUUGGUGUGCUAGGUGGUCUGGUUUACAUUGUCCUUUUAUUAAAAAUAUAAUGUCAAAUAUACAUCAUGCUAAAACUUAAGGAUAGAAUUGUGUGGAUAAAUGCUAAUUUGAAUUCAGAUAUGUGUUAUAUUUAUGUCAUGUAUAAGUGCUUGAUGAACCUCAACCUUGCCAUUGCAUUAUGUAGGUUAGAAUUAACAUAGUGCAAAAUUGGACCUGGUAUAGUUUAUCCAUUAGCUUAGAUUCAAAUGAUGCCUCAUUUCUGGCAUUUGUAUUGCCUUGCAACUUUGCAGAGUAGUAUUGGAGGAAUAGAGUAUGCUUUGGCAUAUCAUCAUUCAUUUGUUCUUUUCUUUUGCUUGGUAGGAACAAAUCUCAACUGGUUUGGUCGUGCUGCUAGAAAAUGAAUGUCCUUCCGCUGCUGAUCUUGCACUAUGCUCUUUUUAUAUACUGGUAAGCAAAUGUUCUAACUGGAUUUUUUGAUUUCUCCGCAGACUUCUUGCUCUGCAGGCCAGCAACGGUUCAACCCAAUACAGGGCAUGUUCAUACUGAAACCGUGGGUGUAGAUUUUGUACUUAUUGGAAUCAUGGUGCAGAUUACAACACAAUGAGAUUUGGUUUGAUGGUAAAAAAACCUCUUACCGUAGCACUCUACGUCCGUUUUAACUGUAUCCACACAAAAUGAUCAUCUAAUUUCCUAAGUUACCGGUCACGCAAAACUAUGGUUAAUUCUUCAUAUUAUCAGAAGUAGAAAUAGACCUGACCUAUAUCUUAUGAGCUUAGAGGAAAUCGUGCAAACUAAAGGCUCCUGGAAUAAUAGUUGUUGAUUCCCCCACCUUGCCAUACUGUCAUCUAUCCGCAUCUUGUCUGGAACAUCGCAAGCUUCCCAUCAACAUGUUCAUGUUCAAUUCGUUAUGUUGCCACGUCUUACAUGUUGCAUUUCUCUUGGUCCCCAUCUCAGCACAUGAUCACAAUGAUCUGGAUAGUAAUCCAGUAAUAUUGGAUAGCUCCCUUCAAGUUUUGGUUAUGGUUGGAGCAUUUAUAGUUUGAUGUCAAAGUUUUGUUCUACAAGUGAAUUAUAUGGAUUGUAAAAUUUAGAGGUUCGAUAUUUGCAACGAAGCUGGUAUUCCCAGUGUGCUGAAGUUGCUGCUGUUUUUAUCUAAAGCUAAUGAAAUUUCCAUAGCAGGGGAAUUUUUCUAAAGAUAAUGAUUUCAUCAUGCUUGAGUAGUAUUCUAGACAUAUCUUCAGAAUGUAGAAGGAGGAAAACCAAAAAAAGACUUGAGAGGGGGGUCAUCAUGCUCAAGAAGGUGAUUAGGGAGGCAUGCACAUGAAGACAUGGAUGGUCACUAGAUGGAAAGACCUUGGACUGAUCAGGAUGAAGUCAAGUUUCAGAAAAAGUUUGGUAAUGCUUUAGAUAUACCGAUGAAUGAACCGGGUUUUUUUUUUUUUUGCUUUCCUAGGCUCUAAUAACUUGUACACUUAUUUUUGUUUCUUUCCGUUUGCAAGAGCUUUAUUUUAUGGUUUCUUUAAUGACAAUCGAUGAGGCUUGUCGGCUCAAAUUUAUUUUUACAGUUUUCACUGAGGUGAAUUCGUGAAGUUGUUUUUUCUCAGGUUCUUGAGGCUGACUUGAUAUGAUUUUUUUAG